UACGGAGGGUGCAAGCGUUAAUCGGAAUUACUGGGCGUAAAGAGUGCGUAGGUGGUUGAUAAGUUAUCUGUGAAAUCCCUGGGCUUAACCUGGGCAGGUCAGAUGAUACUGUUUGACUCGAGUAUGGGAGAGGGUAGUGGAAUUUCCGGUGUAGCGGUGAAAUGCGUAGAGAUCGGAAGGAACACCAGUGGCGAAGGCGGCUACCUGGCCUAAUACUGACACUGAGGCACGAAAGCGUGGGGAGCAAACAGG
rnacentral:rRNA from 1 species